UACGUAGGGGGCAAGCGUUGUCCGGAUUUAUUGGGUUUAAAGGGUGCGUAGGCGGCCCCGUAAGUCAGUGCUGAAAUAUCCCGGCUUAACCGGGAGGGUGGCAUUGAUACUGCGAGGCUUGAGUAAAGUUGAGGUAGGCGGAAUUGACGGUGUAGCGGUGAAAUGCUUAGAUAUCGUCAAGAACACCGAUAGUGUAGACAGCUUACUAAGCUUUAACUGACGCUGAGGCACGAAAGUGUGGGGAUCAAACAGG
rnacentral:rRNA from 1 species